CCAACUCUGAGAAGGUGAGCUACCACGCUGGUGAGGCCAAGGGCCAAGCUCAGGUAAUUUUCUUCACCUAUUAUUCUCCAUUUGUUCCUGCAUUUUUUGUUGUUGAAUAUUACAUAAUUUAUGCUGAAUGUGCAUUGAGAUUGAUGUAAUUUUUCAUUUAACAGGAGAAGGCGAGUGGGGUGAUGGAUAUGGCAAACAAUGCAGCCCAAUCUGCCAAGGAAACAAUGCAAGCGGCAGGCCAGAAUGUGCAGGCCACGGCUAUAGGAGCUGCUGAUGCAGUCAAGAAUGCCACUGGCAUGAACAAAAAAUGAAGCUAGCUGCUCAUCAUGAUCUCAAUAUGAGCAUUUGCAGUUUUUUUUUCUUUUUUUUGGGAGCUUUCUAGUAGUUGCUUUUGAUUUCUGUCUUCUAAACAAGGGAGCUCUAAGUCCUCUGGAGUUCUCAUCAUCUGGGUGUGUACUUUCGUUCACACUUGGUUUUAGUUUUUGUUUUCUUUUUCUUUUUGUUCAUGUUUAUCUCCUUUGAACAAGGAAAGUGGGCUCUGCCUAUUGUAGUUCUCACCUAAUUGAAUCAUAUGCUGUUUUUAAUCCCAUCUAUAUGUUCAAGAUUGGUCCUUUGUUUAUGCAGAUGAGCAAAAUCCGACCUAAGAGUUUCUGAAAAUAAAAAACAUAAAAAAAAGAAGAUAUAAAUUAAUUAAGCAAGUGCGACAACUCAUAAUUAAGAGAAGCUACUUUUGCAUCUGAUAGAAUUUUAUUGAUAAUGCGGGAUGAAAAUAAGUAAAAAAAUUAAGCUAUGUCUAAAUAAUUAGGUGAGCAUCUCUACACAUAAUGACGUAGUGGUCGUCGAACUAUCUAGAUAGUCUAUCUUCUCAACCUUCUCUCGUCGGACUACCUAUAGAUAGCCUCUCGUCGGACUACCUAGGUAGCCUACCUUCUCAACCUUCUCAACUACAAACGAAAAAAAUAAAAACCUUGCCACCGUUAGAGCGGCCCCAUCUCUCUAAGAUUAGCUACUUAACUAUAGAACAAUAUCGUGACUAUGUAGCUAAGUAGCUUUCCCACAUCAAAGAAAUUUCUGUGACCUUCUUCCGUGAAAUUAAAGUACCAUAAUUUGUUGAAAAUUAAAGCACUUUUGUCGAGAAAUAUCUAGAAAAAUCUAGAUAAGAUCACCGACCAAGCUAAAGUCUACAUAUGCCAGAACUGUCAUAUGAAAUAUCCAAUAUGGUACUAUUAGAUUGAUAAUACGAUAAAAACUAGUGGAGACCACAAAGUUGUGGUUAGGAAUGUAGCAGCAGCUCGGCUGAAAAUGUGUGGUUAGGAACAAAACAAGCCCAAGUGGGUGGAGCUUCAGCAUGUCGGCUGCUGUCAUCUGUAAAUGAAUUUGGUAUGUUUAUUUUAAAAUAAAUUAAUCCAUAAUUACAUUAAAUUACCUUUAUUAGUGGGAGUUAAAUUUCCAUUAAUAUGACUCAACUGCUUUAUGCUUGUGUCCAUUAACGUCUUUCUUGGUGGUAUACUAUGUGUAUAUGUUAGUUAUAGCUUGAAAAAGAAAAAGAGAGAAGCCACAGCCUUCUUCCUCUUAUGAUAAAAUUUGGGUUACUAACAAUACAUUUACAUUAAUUACUCUCUCUUGUAGAAAUGUGAUAUUAAUUUAUUGAUUGCAAUCAUUAAUAAAAUUUAGAGGAUUGACGGUAAUGACAAUAUGUAUAAAUGUUUUAAAAACAGUGGCCAAGGUUUUGUGUACUUGGUAGGCUUGUUAAGUUGCUGGACCCAAUUCUACAUCAAAAGAGAGGUGGAGUGCAUUUAUAGUGCAAACUCAAAAUUGGACCUAUAUCAAAAGACUCAUUCUUUUAAUUUAUGUAUUGAGAUUUCUAAGCAACAUAGUUAGAAAGGUGUUUGUUACCUUUUCUAAACUGCUUGCAUAAAUUGGGCGUAGAGCCGCGAAACGUCUGAAAGAGAACGACUUCGUACGUGACUCAUCCCAAGAAUCGUUCCAAACUACAUACUAAAUUUUUCGUGUAAUAUUGUUCUCUUAUUUUAAUUUGUUCAUCAACAAUUUAAAGACCUUUUCAUCUGCCAUUGAUGUGAAUAAUAAGGCUUAUAGAUUCUAUGACCAAAAGAACCAUGUUGUACUUGAAUCUAAAUGAUGUUUAAAAAAAAAGAAGAUAAAUUCUCAUAUAAAUUGAGAAAUUGUGGGGACUCAAGUUCUAGUAAUACAUCUUUCCCAUAAAUCAUGAACCUAGAUGUAUAGAACAUUUUUAACCAACUUAGAACCAAGGAAGAGUAAGAAAACGAAUUGCCAAGGAUUUUGGACCUAAUUUUCAUGUUCAUACCUUAGAGCAAGGAUUUUGGACCUAACUUUCACACUUGGUUUUUGUUUUUGUUCAUGUUAUCUCCUUUGAACAAGGAAAGUGGGCUCUGCCUAUUGUAGUUCUCACCUAAUUGAAGCAUAAUCUUUUUUCAUGUGCUGGUGUUAGAAUUAUCUUCAUCCUUUACUUCGAUUUAAUCCCAUCUAUAUAUUCAACUAGACAACGAUAGAAUCGUGACUGAAAAACUGCCGCUGAUGCCUUGCAAGAGACGAUGGUCACGUAUACGACGAUUAUGUGUCACAUAAGAGGACUGCACUGUGUCUAGAAAAAUCUAGAUAAGAUACCGACCAAGCUAAAGUCUACAUAUGCCAGAACAGUCAUAUAAAGUAUCUCGGCUGAAAAUAUGUGGUUAGGAACAAACAAGCCCAAGUGGGUGGAGCUUGGGCAUGUCGGCUGCUGUCAUUUGUAAAUGAAUUU
rnacentral:lncRNA from 1 species